rnacentral:rRNA from 1 species
GAUGAACGCUGGCGGCGUGCCUAAUACAUGCAAGUCGAGCGAACGGACGAGAAGCUUGCUUCUUUGACGUUAGCGGCGGACGGGUGAGUAACACGUGGAUAACCUACCUAUAAGACUGGGAUAACUUCGGGAAACCGGAGCUAAUACCGGAUGAUAUUUUGAACCGCAUGGUUCAAUAGUGAAAGACGGUCUUGCUGUCACUUAUAGAUGGACCUGCGCUGCAUUAGCUAGUUGGUAAGGUAACGGCUUACCAAGGCAACGAUGCAUAGCCGACCUGAGAGGGUGAUCGGCCACACUGGAACUGAGACACGGUCCAGACUCCUACGGGAGGCAGCAGUAGGGAAUCUUCCGCAAUGGGCGAAAGCCUGACGGAGCAACGCCGCGUGAGUGAUGAAGGUCUUCGGAUCGUAAAACUCUGUUAUUAGGGAAGAACAAAUGUGUAAGUAACUGUGCACAUCUUGACGGUACCUAAUCAGAAAGCCACGGCUAACUACGUG